GAUGAAGAACGCAGUGAAAUGCGAUAAGUAAUGUGAAUUGCAGAAUUCAGUGAAUCAUCGAAUCUUAGAACGCACAUUGCGCCCGCCAGUAUUCUGGCGGGCAUGCCUGUUCGAGCGUCAUUUCAACCAUCAAGCCCCAGGCUUGUGUUGGGGACCUGCGGCUGCCGCAGGCCCUGAAAACCAGUGGCGGGCUCGCUGUCACACCGGGCGUAGUAGAUUUUAUCUCGCUCAGGGCGUGCUGCGGGUUCCGGCCGUUAAAAAGCCUUUUUUACCCAAGGUUGACCUCGGAUCAGGUAGGAAGACCCGCUGAACUUAAGCAUAUCAAUAAGCGGAGG
rnacentral:misc_RNA from 1 species